ensembl:ncRNA C34H3.17 ncRNA
CGCCCUUUUAUUACCUAUUUACUUAUCUUGAUUCAAUGGCACUCUUGCGAAAGACUGUGCCAUUGUUGUCAACCUUAGAUGGUAAUCAAGAGAAAGAGCAAUGCGUGAAUGUGUGUGUGUGUGUGUGUGUGGGCAGUCACCA